CCCUUCUCUCAUCUUCCGCCACCACCCACAAAACCAUAUGUGCCAUUCGCACUGCUCGCAACCUAGCCGUAUCACUACAUUAGCUGCUCGUUGACGUUGAUCUGAAGCUGCUCACCGACCAGCACCUAACAUCGUCGAUCUGAAGCCAUCGAGAACGAGUCAGGCGUCGUUCUUCCUCUGUUCAUUCGGUUUACCAAUCAUGGUUCUAGUCAGUAGGUGCUCAUCUGACGUCGCCAGUGGGUCAGGCUCCAUCGCACUGCCUCUAUCGGCGACUUUCCACUUUUUCAGUCAUUGGAAUCCUAGGAUUUUGGUUGGAUUCAUGAAGGUGAGGUUUCUAAGGAAUUUGUUCGGCAUAGUAGAGAUUGAGCUACACAAUUGAAGUGUUAGAGUGGUUUUGGAACCAACCACGUGUUGGGUAAGUGGUCUAAAUUUCUGUAGAAUAAAUUUGUGAUUCAGAAUAUGAACCUGAAGGUUAAUAAAAAUUAAUUAUGGUCCA